ACAGGAAGCAGCUUGCUGCUUUGCUGACGAGUGGCGGACGGGUGAGUAAUGUCUGGGAAACUGCCUGAUGGAGGGGGAUAACUACUGGAAACGGUGGCUAAUACCGCAUAACGUCGCAAGACCAAAGAGGGGGACCUUCGGGCCUCUUGCCAUCAGAUGUGCCCAGAUGGGAUUAGCUUGUUGGUGAGGUAACGGCUCACCAAGGCGACGAUCCCUAGCUGGUCUGAGAGGAUGACCAGCCACACUGGAACUGAGACACGGUCCAGACUCCUACGGGAGGCAGCAGUGGGGAAUAUUGCACAAUGGGCGCAAGCCUGAUGCAGCCAUGCCGCGUGUAUGAAGAAGGCCUUCGGGUUGUAAAGUACUUUCAGCGGGGAGGAAGGUGUUGUGGUUAAUAACCGCAGCAAUUGACGUUACCCGCAGAAGAAGCACCGGCUAACUCCGUGCCAGCAGCCGCGGUAAUACGGAGGGUGCAAGCGUUAAUCGGAAUUACUGGGCGUAAAGCGCACGCAGGCGGUCUGUCAAGUCGGAUGUGAAAUCCCCGGGCUCAACCUGGGAACUGCAUUCGAAACUGGCAGGCUUGAGUCUUGUAGAGGGGGGUAGAAUUCCAGGUGUAGCGGUGAAAUGCGUAGAGAUCUGGAGGAAUACCGGUGGCGAAGGCGGCCCCCUGGACAAAGACUGACGCUCAGGUGCGAAAGCGUGGGGAGCAAACAGGAUUAGAUACCCUGGUAGUCCACGCCGUAAACGAUGUCUACUUGGAGGUUGUGCCCUUGAGGCGUGGCUUCCGGAGCUAACGCGUUAAGUAGACCGCCUGGGGAGUACGGCCGCAAGGUUAAAACUCAAAUGAAUUGACGGGGGCCCGCACAAGCGGUGGAGCAUGUGGUUUAAUUCGAUGCAACGCGAAGAACCUUACCUGGUCUUGACAUCCACAGAACUUUCCAGAGAUGGAUUGGUGCCUUCGGGAACUGUGAGACAGGUGCUGCAUGGCUGUCGUCAGCUCGUGUUGUGAAAUGUUGGGUUAAGUCCCGCAACGAGCGCAACCCUUAUCCUUUGUUGCCAGCGGUCCGGCCGGGAACUCAAAGGAGACUGCCAGUGAUAAACUGGAGGAAGGUGGGGAUGACGUCAAGUCAUCAUGGCCCUUACGACCAGGGCUACACACGUGCUACAAUGGCGCAUACAAAGAGAAGCGACCUCGCGAGAGCAAGCGGACCUCAUAAAGUGCGUCGUAGUCCGGAUUGGAGUCUGCAACUCGACUCCAUGAAGUCGGAAUCGCUAGUAAUCGUGGAUCAGAAUGCCACGGUGAAUACGUUCCCGGGCCUUGUACACACCGCCCGUCACACCAUGGGAGUGGGUUGCAAAAGAAGUAGGUAGCUUAACCUUCGGGAGGGCGCUUACCACUUUGUGAUUCAUGACUGGGGUGAAGUCGUAACAAGGUAACCGUAGGGGAACCUGC
rnacentral:rRNA from 1 species